AACCCUUGCGUAACAGUUCAUAUAAUGGAUCCGCUAUGUGAGCAAAAUGAGGGAUCCAGAUUCGAUAAAAUACACAUGCACCCAAAAACCUGCGAACCCCCUGUUAAAGAAUCACAAUCCUCUUUCAUCCUUCCAAUUGCAUCAACUUUAGUCGAAUCUGGUUUUCUUCCAUAAGAUCCGCAUAAAUGUCCAACAAUUACAACCUCU
rnacentral:lncRNA from 1 species